CUUAGCGGUUCAAAAUUCCUUAUCUUUCUCAUUCACUCUAUUCUUUUAGA
rnacentral:tRNA from 1 species